ensembl:lincRNA Gm26979 predicted gene, 26979
AGCACAUUGAGUUUCCAGAGGAGGGGGUUACAAAAAAGAAUGAAGUGAAUAUUGAACUCAGGAGGCAGAGAGUCACCAUGAGUCAGAGGAAACCUGAAGUAACUCAUGUAAAUGAGUGCCUGAAUUCACCUUUGAAAAGGUAAACUCCAUCCUCUCAUACUUGGGUUUGUCACCUUCUAAUGGCUGUCAACUCUCUAAUAAAAAUACUUGCAAAACA